UGGGGAAUUUUGGACAAUGGACGCAAGUCUGAUCCAGCCAUGCCGCGUGCGGGAAGAAGGCCUUCGGGUUGUAAACCGCUUUUGUCAGGGAAGAAACGAGUUUCUCUAAUACAGAGACUUAAUGACGGUACCUGAAGAAUAAGCACCGGCUAACUACGUGCCAGCAGCCGCGGUAAUACGUAGGGUGCAAGCGCUAAUCGGAAUUACUGGGCGUAAAGCGCGCGUAGGUGGUUAGUUAAGUUGGAUGUGAAAUCCCCGGGCUCAACCUGGGAACUGCACUCAGAACUGACUGACUAGAGUAUGAGAGAGGGUAGUGGAAUUCCGCGUGUAGCAGUGAAAUGCGUAGAUAUGCGGAGGAACACCGAUGGCGAAGGCAGUCCCCUGGACCUGUACUGACGCUCAUGGACGAAAACGUGGGGAGCAAACA
rnacentral:rRNA from 1 species